rnacentral:rRNA from 1 species
AUUGAACGCUGGCGGCAGGCCUAACACAUGCAAGUCGAACGAGUGGCGGACGGGUGAGUAAUGUCUGGGAAACUGCCCUAUGGAGGGGGAUAACUACUGGAAACCGUAGCUAAUACCGCAUACCAUCGGAUUUGCCCAGAUGGUAUUAGCUUGUAGGUGAGGUAACGGCUCACCUAGUCGACGAACCAUAGCUGAUCUGAGAGGAUGACCAGCCACAUUGGAACUGAGACACGGUCCAGACUCCUACGGGAGGCAGCAGUGGGGAAUAUUGGACAAUGGGCGCAAGCCUGAUGCAGCCAUGCCGCGUGUAUGAAGAAGGCCUUCGGGUUGUAAAGUACUUUCAGCGGGGAGGCGUUACCCGCCGAAAAAGCACCGGCUAACUCCGUGCCAGCAGCCGCGGUAAUAC